AUGGCGGCGACCACCACGUCCCUCUCCUCCUCGACCUUUGCUGGCAAGGCGGUGAAGAAUGUACCAUCGCCAGCUCUCUUCGGCGAGGCCCGCGUGACCAUGCGCAAGACUGCAGCGAAGGCUAAGCAGGUUUCCUCUGGCAGCCCAUGGUAUGGUGCUAACCGGGUGCUCUACCUCGGCCUACUCUCUGGUGAGCCCCCGAGCUACCUGACCGGUGAGUUCCCUGGUGACUAUGGGUGGGACACUGCUGGGCUUUCAGCUGACCCCGAGACCUUUGCCAAGAACCGGGAGCUCGAAGUGAUCCACUGUCGCUGGGCCAUGCUCGGAGCACUUGGUUGUGUCUUCCCAGAGUUGCUGGCCCGCAAUGGCGUGAAGUUCGGUGAGGCCGUUUGGUUUAAGGCUGGCUCCCAGAUCUUUAGUGAGGGUGGUCUUGACUAUCUUGGCAACCCCAGCCUCGUCCACGCGCAAAGCAUCCUAGCUAUUUGGGCAUGCCAGGUCGUGCUCAUGGGUGCCGUUGAGGGGUACCGUAUUGCCGGUGGCCCGCUUGGUGAGAUCGUCGACCCACUCUACCCGGGCGGCAGCUUCGACCCUCUUGGCCUAGCUGACGACCCUGAGGCAUUUUCCGAGCUCAAGGUGAAGGAGAUCAAGAAUGGUCGUCUUGCCAUGUUCUCAAUGUUUGGCUUCUUUGUCCAAGCUAUCGUCACGGGCAAGGGCCCUCUUGAGAACCUUGCUGACCACAUCACCGACCCUGUCAACAACAAUGCAUGGGCAUUCGCCACCAACUUUGUCCCCGGCAAGUAA
rnacentral:rRNA from 1 species